rnacentral:misc_RNA from 1 species
UUGAGAUAACGUGUGGAAGGCUCGUUGCUGGCCAGUUAGUUCGGGCAUGUGCACGUCUUCCAGCAAACAAUUACACACUUGUGCACCAAUGGUAGAGAAUCUCUCGCAAGAGGGAGGAUCUAUGUUUUAUAUAUCACACCAACGUAUGUCUAUAGAAUGUCUAUCGAUGGCCUUACCGAACGGAGGGUGAUUCCUCUCUAAUAGGGGGCUUGAAAUAAUAUUAUA